UACGGCAGCGUUUCAAAGGUAACCUUUAAAUCAAGCUAUCGCGAACAAGAUCCAACGGUCUAGAUCGAUCCAACCAAAAAAAACGAGAAAAAUAAUCUAUGAAUCUCCGAGAUAGAUUGACCGGAAUGCUGACGUACUCCUCAGGUACUCCGAGUAGAUGAUUCUGGUUUCUACUUUUUGAGAUUCCUUCAGUCUUAUAGAAUCUAUUGUAUUAAGGCUUCUUAGAGCACCUCCGGUGGGGAGUGCUCAAUGGGUUACUCUUCUAUUUAUGAUCAAAAAAAAAAAUUAAAAAACCCAUAAUAUAGCUCAAAAAUCCGAGAAUCGCUUCUUCCGGAAGGAGUUGGAGCAACCCAGAGCAAAUCAUAAGCAACCCAUACGUGUCAGGUUUAGAUUGGUUGUAGGGUUUCUUUCCCGACCCUUUCUCUCUUUUCUCUCCCGAUGGAUUCGCCAAUUCACCUCAAGUCCGGAAAACUCGUCAGCGGAUGUUGCUUCUGAUGGCCUAAGGCGGACGGCGAGGUCCACCGGCUAGCGAUUAGAAAGGAGAUAAGAGAGCCAGACAGCCAGAAAUGGUUUUAUGCUUCUGAAGUACUUCUUGCACUUGAGUUGCAGAGUUUCGUGAGUCCUACACUGAUUCAAUCAACUUCACAACCGUCUUGUCAUAUUGCUUCGUACUGUAUCCAACAUCCUUGCAUAGAUCCAUCAUGCAAACUACCUGUAGCAUGUAUCCUACCAUCAUGCUUUCAAGCCUCGUUUCCUCAACAACAAACCAAGAAAGGCGAAAACCGAAAAAGUCCGUUCAGAUUCAUUCCCAAAAGCCCGUUCAGAUUCAAUAUAAGAUUCAUUAGUGCAAAAUUAUAUAUGAGCUUUAACACAUGAUGUUGUGUGUGGUUUGAUGUGUAGCGGAGGAUGAGUUUGACAUCCAUUGUGGCGGUCAAGUCUCCUACUUCAUCUAGUGACGCUCCCAUUAGGAGAACCAUCUUGGCCAUGGAAGCGACCUCAUAUACAUUCAGAGGUUUCUUCCCUUUCAAUGAGCUGCUUCAUUCACUAAUAUUGUAAUCUCUUUGUAUUAGAUGUCUUGAUAAGGUUCAUACUAACUAAUAUUGUAAUCUCUUUGUAUUGUAAUCUCUUUACAUACAUUUUGAUUCAA